ACACAAAUUAAAACAUCUGGUUUCUUUUCAAAAUAAAACACUACAUGUUUCAAGCGGAUUGUAUUUUACACCAUGCAAAUGUGGGCAGGGACGAACAAGUUACAGGUAUAUAGAGACGACACAUUAUCGCGCAAUUGCAUGUGACUUUGCUGGUUCUUGUGAGUUCUGGCAAUUCCCGCUGUCUGAAAUUCACUAUACUUGCGGAACGGCACUGUUCCAUAGUGGUUUCCCUCCACAUAUGGUGGAAUUUGAGGGUCAGCUUCUCGGUAUCUGCGGGGGCGUUGUCCUUUUUUUUUGCCCCCAGUAUUACACAUAGUACAUCUAUGUUGGAAAGUAACGUGAUGAUAAAUUCAAGGACUGUUUCUCAUAUCUCUUGAUAUUGUGUUUGUUAAUAAUGAUAUAUGUUUAUACCUAUAUGUGUGUCACUUUCUAGCCUGUCAGUCGUUAGCUUGUGAUCGUGCUUUCUUUGAAAGUAUCGUGAUGAUCGACUUGAGGACUGUUUCUCAUAUCUCUGUAAAUGUAAUUGUUAAUAAUAAUAAGCAUAAAUUUAGAUGUGUGUAACUUGUUUAGUCUAUUGGUCGUUAGCUUGUGACCAUGUGAUCGAAUUCUCACAAUUCCCGCUGUCCGAAAUUCACCACAAAAAUUGCCUCACCAACAUAUCCUGUACUGGUGCCGUUCCACAUACGGUGGAAUUUGGGGGUUAGCUUUUUUUUUUUUUUAAAGUAUUACACAUAGUACAUCUAUGUUGGAAAGUAACGUGAUGAUAAAUUCAAGGACUGUUUCUCAUAUCUCUAAAAUAUUGAUUGUUAAUAAUGAUAUAUGUUUAUACCUACAGUAUAUGUGUGUCACUUUCUAGCCUGUCGGUCGUUAGCUUGUGAUCGUGCUUCCUUCGUCCCUUGGCUUUUCAGACGUCAGCCUCCUCCUGCUCCUCUCUCAGCCCUCCUUCGCAUAAUUCUCUCUACUGUUGAAAAUACAGUCGUCCACCAUAAACUAUAGCAGCAUCUGCAACUUCUUUGUGCAACUGAUCGACCUGAGUUUGUGACGAAGUAAAACUGAGAGUCUGAACAAUCAUAUUUCCUGGGACUGCAGGGAGCCAUUAUCAAAAUAAAAUCACCCACCUCAACUCAGUACUACUGUUACAAGUUUAACUUCAAUUUAUCUUGCAAAAACUGCACAAAUAUUCACUUUAAUGUAAUUAAUACACAGACUUAAACCAGUAUUAACACAUAGUUAAGUUUGCAACACUUGCUUUGGAUUAUUUAUUCAAGUUUAAGUCGAAAUUCUUCUUUAACAAACGACAGCCGACCGUGUUAAGCCUUUCACAAUGCAUCACCAGUAGCUAGUGUUGACAUCCAGAAAAAAUCAGCUCUGGGCCAUACAGUUGAUGUCAGGUCAAGCUGUGAUUUUGAACAGUUGAUAAAACGGCUCCUGUUUGUAUGAAUAAACCAGUAAACAAUAUUUCCCCCACCCUGGGAGUUGCGCAGGGAGUCGUCCAAAACAUAUGGAAAUUUUCAGCUGCUGGCUACCCUCAUUUGAGCAGCGGGGCACCACAAAUGAAGCGGGGAAAUGUCCUAAACUGUGUAUUAUUUGGCUGAAAACGUACUGUUAUAGCUCCGGAUUGUGUUCUGUGUCGAAAACAUGUGAGAAGUUCAAGUCAGAAACUGCAGAAACUCCAGGUUACUCCACAAAUCAAAGACAGGAGUGAUAUUGCACAUGUAAACAGAGACACUGAGCCCGUCAUGACUGUGGUCCCAGUUUAUAUCCCUUGUUGUCCUCCUAUUUCUGUUGCACAGUCUGGCGGUGCACAUGGUGGCUUUACAAUGUGUAACCCUAUGCCCAGGUGUUCCCUCAACCCCAUCUGUUCCCUCUGCGCCCCAGAGCCUCAGCAUGGAGUGGAGGCUCACUGUUGAGAGCAGUGAUUUCAAAUCAAGACAGUAUGAUUAUAAAAAAUUAGAAAACAAAUUAUGUCUCUGAUUUUAUUCCCAUAUAACUCUAUUCAAGCACGGUUAUUGGUAUUUACGCCACAACCUGUCCACCAUGCUUUAUCGCGCUCAUUACCACUAACUAAAGCUGUCAUUUGGUUGCUUUACCAUGGUAACCGGUUCUAAUCAGGGUUGUUGCUGCGUGAACAAACAUCACAUUUCCAGUAACUGUCAGUUUACAACAUCGCUGUUGAUAUGAAACUCAUUCGACAGAAAACUGCGGCUGAAAGUGAUGUUCCAAAAGGUGAAAAGGACUUCUGCUGCGGGAGUGUUUUUAGCCCGCUUAUUUUGUUAUUCACAUUAAAUCGAAUAUUUCCAUCGAAGGUUAUAUAAGACAAGGUGAACGGGUCUUCAGGAGAAAAACAUGAAUGUUGACUCGUUUCCUGAAUUCUGGUGUUGAAACGCCUCUAAAUAUAAAUGAGGCACAAGUCUGCGCUGGGGUUCGGGAUGACCUUAUUCCAACCUCUGCCUGGGACUCUUUGUUUUGGCUGAUUUUUCAGGGACAAAAUGUAAGAUAAACCUUGUGAGUGUUGCAUCUCAGACAUUCAUGAAAUUACCUGAAAGUGACGCCUUUGAUGGGGCGUUCACACCAAGCCCCAGUAAAUCUACUAUCUACUAUCUAGUCGCUUAAUUCACGCCAAUCUAGACGCGUAAAUGAAAAGUAUUUACUCGCUUCAUUUGCGCUCGUCAAUGGUAAUUUCGACAGUAAUCCCUGCCUAUUCAACCAAUGGGAUUAAGUGAUAGACAAAGGGUUUUUUACAAUUUACCAGGUAAUCGGACCUCCUCACGCACUUGCCUCCGGUUUCUCUAAUUGAAAGUAAAGGUAUCGUAAAAUUCAGGGCACCCACAUGCCGACACGAUCAGUUCGUCCUCCAUUUAACCCCCAAUUUCCACCACAUCUGGAACGGCCACGAAAAGGCCAUAUCUUCCGAUCGCAAGCUGAUUGCUACCAUUCAAGUUAUUGUGUCAAUUUCCAACGGCUUCUCUCUGUUCCACUGUGGAUCGCCGGACUCUGCAGCUGAUCGCAAGAGUUCUAUUUUUCUGGACGCCAGAGCAUGCUAGAUAAAUUCAGCACAGAUUAUCCCGUGCUGGAAAGGACACACUUUUCAAAAUAAAACACUCCAUGUUUCAGGCAGAUCGUAUUUCACACCAUGCAAACGGGCGGGGAUGAACAAGUGAAAGGUUACACCAUUUCACCAUUUCAGCAUUUUAGGAGAUGCUGAUUUAUAAGUCUAGAAGUAGAUUUCCUCCUCUAGGACACAAUCUACUGCUUACAUGGUUAGCCUAUGUGGCUAGAGACAACUUGUUAUCGCGUGGUUGCAGGUGAAUCCGCGGGUUCUUGCGAGUUCUCACAAUUCCUGCUGUCCGUAAUCUGCCAUGAGAUUCGCCUCACAAACAAAAUCCCAGGUAAGAUACCAGUGAACAACUGUCCAUUUUCACACGUCACCCGGCAACUUCUGUGCUGAUAAGUUAAAGCAAAACCAAUGUCCGCUCAAGAUGAGACAUUUUCAGCACACGCCCAAUUCACAUCAUUCGCACCGCCAGAGUAGUAGGGGCGUCUUAUCGUGUCUUUGCAUUGACUUAACAUGUAAUUCAUUCUUGCAAAUGAUUUUACUUGGUGUGUGGAGACAGUAAAGGAACGUUUGCGGAUAUCCUGACGUGCCUACUCAGCACCGCACUGAGACCCGUUAUCAUCUACGAAAUCCGGACCUCUACGUUGGCUUCAGUCUCAAACGAAAGUUAAGCUUCAGCACCGAGUUUAACGGCCCUCACAGUACAUUGAUAUAGUCCAAACUGGCUGUGGUACUGCAUGAAAUAAUCAUUUUUAUUGCUUGGCAAUCAAGCAGAAUUGUGUCUAAUUAAAUCACACGCUGGACAUCAGAGUGUGUGAAACCAAAAAAAGAGGGGAGAAAUCCCUCUGAUGGUCAUUUCUGUGAUCAUUUCGCAGCAUUAUUAUGAGCACGUUGGUGAUCAUCAAGGUUAUAACUGAGCGGUUCUGACAUUGCUAAUUGAGACCAGAAACGAUGAUUGAAUUUGCUCUAAUUUACCGACUGAUCUGCCAAUAUCGGCCGUGGCAAACACACGGGGUGGCCGGUUUUAUUGGCUCUGUGCAGCACAUUAUUUUCAUCUUCUCCCUUCACAGAUCAAGGGUACAGAUGACUUUUGUCAGCCAUCAGAUGCUGUGUGGCAGAUGUCACAGCAUUUAUUGUCACCAUGAUUUAUUGGUUCAGAAUGACCAGCGCCACGGGGAAGAACACAUCAAAAAGGCCAGGCGCUGGUGAAGGGGAGCUUCUGAAUGCCAACUCCUCCAACAACUUUCAUCCCGGCUCUCUUAGGACCGCACAUUUUGCUGCUGGUUAUUGUUUGGCCAUCUGCUGUAUUUCCAGCCUCUCUGACUACACCGCUAAGCAAACACGGAGUCUGUGCCAGAUAGCGUCACCUUCCUUUUGCCCCUCUAAUUCUGCUCUACUGGGUUUCUUUGGUGGGAUGAAGCGUUGAAUUCGCUCGAGUCGUCGACGACAGAGGUUUAUCAUAAAAGAAAUUAACCCGCUUUAACCUGUUUUCUCUCUUUAAAGACAAAAAGAAGUAAACCUGGAACAUAAGUGCAGAAAAUUCCUGUCUGAAAAACUCUCCAUUUCCUCAUCUGAACCUGUUUUAACCUUUGGCAUCCAGCUGAAACAGAUAUUACAGACACAAAUAUUGAUUUCUGGUGUUUUGUUUGCUGGUAAAAGUUCAGCUUCAGUUUAACCUAGUGUAUUUCUUUUUCCAAGGACAUAUUCCUAACCCCCUGAUGGAUAUUUGCAUAAUUGAUUUGCCAAGAACAAUAGGGUUUUAUGUUCUUCCCUUCCAUGUGUAUUCAUACCCCAUCUUUUUUUACGCACUCUUAACUUCCUAGUGGUUCGAUUUUUGAAGCUAUUCGCCGUGACCCAUCAUGUUUCGCUAACCUAAGCCGAGUGCAUAACAAUGCUCCGGUGUCCUUGAACGUGUUGCAUAAUAAAAAAAACUGAAAUUAAAAUGACACCUUCACUGUGAAUGUUCUGCAGCAGAGAUUCAACUACAACUCUCAGCUCAGUAUGUUGAUUUAUACUGAAGAUAAACAGUUUUUCUCACUUUAAAAACUCAAAUAUUUUUAAUUAGAACUGGAUAAAACAAUCUACUGCCUGGAAAUAUCCAUAAAUAGUUUUUUUUUUUUUAACAGAGCUGGGGGUUAUCAUCUGAGGGGGGAGGCUUUGUUUACAGUCAGAAAGAGCGGACCACUCAAAACAUUUAAAAUGUUGACUACACAAACAUAAGAGAACACAGGGAUAUCAUAACAUUACCAAAUGUCAUCAAUAACCAAUAACUAUUGACUGAUAUUAAAAGCUUGUUUGCUUCUUUAACAGAUUCCUGCCUACCCCACCUUUAAAUAAACUUAUCAAUAUGAAUUAUCUAACUGUAAAUAAAGUAAACAGCUAGAAUUUUACCACAAUCAACAAAAAUAUAAUUAAACACAAAAACUUCAAUUAUCAUCCACAUAUUGAUGAACUCAAAUAGGUCCUAGGCUCCUACAGGCUGCAUGAAAGAGUGACGAGAUUGAAAAUGUAGGACUCUAUUAAAGGGACCUGAGCUGCCCCCCAUUCUGUAGUAACUGUAGUUGUAAUCUAGUUUAAUGCAGCUCUAUGUGUUAGCCCGCUGCACCUGCAUGCUUAGCUCAUGGCGGUGAUAUUUCAACACCAUUUGACACAAAGUGCACAUUACAUUUGACUUGUAGCAGCUUAUCUACUGUGUGCAUAACAAGAUUAAUGCAUUCACCUCGCACCUUUGUCAUACUGCUAUAAUCACAUUAACACCAACAGUCUUAUAUUAGAUUAAAAAACACUUAUUUGUGUUUCUUUAUGGGCAUGAUUCAAAAAUCUAGGCACCAUUUGUCAAUAUUAGAGUACAGGAUUAUCCCAGGGGGAGUAAAUCCAUCUUUUUAAAUCCUAAAUCGCUCUCUGACAUCCUGAUAAAUGUGAUAAAUACAAAUAUUAGGUUUAAUUUUAAGGUAUUUAUAUGCAAACUUGCCAACAAGACACAAGUUCAAAGAAUAACAUUUACUUUGGAGACGCAGGCACCUUGGGACGUGAUGCCAGCAGAACAGAUCAGAAAUAAUUUCCCAUUACCCUCGCUCCAUCAUAUUUGAAAUACAGCUAUAUGAGGUCAACAGCGAGAAAAAGGCGGUAAUAUCCGGAAACGCUGUCUUGAAUAUGAACAAAGCCUCUCUGUUGUGGAGCUGCGUUACCUUUGUUUCCCCCCUCCGCCACCGCCGCUGCCGCCGCCGAAGCAGUUUGCUGCAGCAGUCAGCAGAAAUGACGAACAAAGCUUUCACAUACCUCUCAGCGAAGCGUUAUUAACAGUGAAAUUCAGCCCGACAAAAGUGUACAAAUGCCUGGCUGACACUUCCAAUACUUAUCCGCAAAGAAUUAUGAUCGCAAAGCAUCCCACUGAUGUUUCACCUUCAAGGCUGACCUUGUGACGGCUAUUCUCUGCUGAUGCUUGCCAGAGAUAAAAGCUAUGAGCCCUUCUCACCCCCCAUGCCAAGGACACACGCAUCAUCGCUUUACUGGCCUAUCUGCCCAGGUGAUGCAUGGCUCCUAUAGCCAGUCAGUCUGAGGCAGUAUUUAUAACAAAGUGUGUGAGGCAGCAGGCAACUCAUCACCGUCGAGACCUCGGGAUCCUUGGUCUCUGAGUGCACUUGCAUGGGCUUUGUUAUCCGCUGUGCACACAUUAUAAAUUUAAUCUUGUUUUUUAAGCUAUGGAAAUGCAAAUGAGGUGUCAACGAAGGGGAGAAUGGGUGUGAUUUUAAAGAUAUAUUAAUUCUGCUUUGAGGACUCAGCGUGAUUUAUUUUGAGAAUGAAAUGUCUUUUCAUCUCUGCGCAGUGCAUCAAAACCUGAGUGGAUUUAAAAGACAGGAGUCGGAGGAAAAAGAAAAAGAGUUUUAUCAAUAGAUCCUUCAAACCAAUUUGUUGUAAGUGCCUUAAAAGACAAAACGCGCAUUAGCGACAGAAUAAAACCAAAUGAACAGACGGAUGAAUGCCGAAUGUGAUUCGACGAGAAAAAAAGAGACGAGAUCGAGUCUCGGUGUGGAGACGGGACAUCUCAUGACUGGCGGGAAAGUGAACAGCAAAGAGCAGCCAAUGCUUGAAAUUCAUUAGGUAUCAGUGGGAGACAAAGCACUGACAGGUGUUUAUGCAAAUCAUCGGCGGACGGAUUCAUCUCCCUAAUGGGGGAAACAGCAGUCUCAGAAUAAUGUGAGGCAUGUGGAAGUAAAUGAUAGUCCACUUGUGAAGUCAUGAGCAUAUUGUGAGCUGUACAGAAAAGACACAGUUGGAAUUAAGAAAUAUGGAGGGCUAUCUGUUGUUCCUUUCCAGGGAACAUAUGGUAUACUUCUUACUAUGCCAUCACUCUGCGAACAUAUUGUCUCACAGUUUGGAGAAGUUGCUGCAUUUUAAAUUAAGACAGAUAUUUGUGUAGAGAGUUAAUCUUGCAAAGCUUUUGGGCUUUUUUCACCGUUGUUACACCGAGUUUAAGUAAUCUGCUUUAAUUUCUGUACACCGCUCAGUGCUGUGAGUCAAUCUGCAGCAAUACAUUAGACGGUCAGGGGUAGCGGUCUGACUGCCCAGCAUAUGCCAUAGUGGAAAUGCCAAGGGUGAAGGGUGACAGUGGUCCGUGAGGGCAGAUGACAUGCUUCUGGCUGAAUGAUUUUGUGUUUGGGGGAAAAAAGAGCUUCAAAAGCUCAGAGGAUGCAAAACAAAAUCACAAGCAAAGGUCUGACAAUGUAGAAAAAAGAUGCAAAAUAAAAUGUCGCUCCUCAAAAUGAAAAAAAAAAAAAAAGGUAUGGCCUAAGUUCGACUGUAGUGAAGGUUUCACAGAUAUCUGAAUAAUCGCUGUUUCUUAUUGGAGCCCAGUCUCACUCACCCCUGUUCACCAUGCAUUACCCUGGGGUGUCUGGGAGGGGAGCAUUAGCCUGCUUAUUAUUAUUUAUUAAAUUAAAUUGACCAUUUUAUCGACUUUUCCAGUGUUAUGUUAAACCAAUGCUCGGUUAUCUCCAGUUAUCUCGGAAGUCGGAGCUGGGAAUGAUAUUACACUUGUUACAAUGUUAAAUAUGUUCUGGUAAACAAGUUGGAAAACAAAACUAGACGCCUACUGAUGUAACUAUGGUUGUAACGUUUAGCCAUUGUUAGCCGUUGUUAGCAGGUAGCUAACAGAUGAUCUUGAUUUAACAUGUGAGUCACCAGUUGAGUUUUCAGUCUCUUUACGGUUGAUACACCGUGAAACUACAAUAUGACAAUAAACAAUGAUGUUAUAUGUUGUGUAACUUGUUUUUUUAACACAAACAAUAAUCUCAUACAAUACUAAUCCACAUAAAGAAGAUUAACAACAACGAAUAAUCGCCGAUUAGCUUAAUGCUAACGUUACAUUGGAAAUGUCAUUGACAGGCUAGCGCGUUAGCAUCACUCCAUUUCUAAAGUAUGCCCACAUCAAUAAUGAACUGUUUUUGAAGUUUUAACAGGUAAAUUCAACACAGUAACAACCAAUACUCACAGACAAGGGCGUUACAGGUACAACUGAGAAAAAGUGAACGAGCAAAAACCAACAACAACUUCGCUAUAAACUGCUGGUCUGUUUACAGAAACUACAGCAAGUCUGAAGAGACACACAGCACGGCAGAGUACACAAUCCCCUUCUCAACAAUGCAAAACACAGGAUUUGACUCAAACAAACACCAUAGUACCAUGUCCACAGUUAGACGUUGGACAGCACUACAUACGCCACUUAAUUUCACAAAAAACAAACAGAAGUGCUGCUAAUAAUAAUACAUCAUGAGAGCUUUCAUGGUUACUGUUGAUGCACAGUGCUGCCAUCUUUGAUUAUGACAUUGUGGUCAAGUUGGGGUUGGUGAAGAUCGGACGACUUUUUCAGUCAGAGAUCCAAAUUCAUGGGGGUCUUUUAUAUGAAUUUCCGACUGGGACUAUUACAAUUGGAAAGCAGCAAAAGUAGGCUGACCAUAUUCUGAAUCAAGACCAAGAGGACGUGACUAGGUGGGGGUGGAGUCACGGUGUUGUGUGUAGUUAAUUUUGGGAGUUUUUCAGUUGGAUUGAGAGUUUUUUACACACUUCAAACUCAGUCAGUCCACGUGACACAAACUCGAAACUUCCAUACAAAACCUGGAAAUUUGAAGGAUUUUAUUAACUCCCCCGGACAAAGCUGGACAAAGCCGGACAGCCCCAAAAAAGAGGAAAGUGUGGGUAAAAGAGGACGAAUGGUCACCCUAAGCAUAAGUCUAAAUGGAGCAACGGUGAAGUCCACCAGUUAAGCAUGCUGAUAGAAACUAUCAUUUCGACUGAUGAGGAGCAAAAUGUGUCGGGGACUACUUUACGUGGAUUGAUUUGAUGUGACGUGUGAGAUCUGCUUAACUACUCAAGUAUUUCACACACAAUGCUUUGACUUUAUAUUACAACUUAUUGUCCCAGUCAUCUAAGGUGAAAUGUGAACACGUGUGUUUGUACGGGAGUGGGAUGACAAAGUUUUGAGAAGCCCUCCGAGAUAAAAUAGUAGACACACUCGACUUGUCAGUGACAGAUGACUUAAAAAGGAGUCGUAUCACAAUAUUUGCUAUUUUAGAAGUUUCCCACUCUUAGUUUGUAACAUCCCGGCUAUUUCUCAUCAUGACAUCAAUUAACACAAAGUCUGAUAAAUAUUCAAAGUUCCUUUCAUAUCCUGUCAUGGGGGAACAAAAUACAGACAGUACACAGGGCUUACAUCUUAUUAAUGACUCAUUUACUUUGAUCACAAGCUGUCAUUCCUCUGUUUGUUUUUCUCAUUCUGUGCCAUUCAGCAUCUGCCAAGAGACCGUAAAAAAUCGGAGAGCGUUUAAGAGAAAAAUCAAAGUUGCCCCAACUGUGAACUGUUGAGUUUGAUAAGUGUCUGACACACAAACGCCUAUAAAUGAUGUGAACGCUGAAGUGAUUUAUGAGAGGCUUAAUUACACAUCUACAUUCAGGCUACUGUAUCCUCUCUAACACCCACAGCUGUUACACAAACUUCAAAACAAUGCAUACUUUAGGCAUGUUUAUGUAACGUGUCUAUAGGGGGUUUGUAUGUUAAUGCUGAGUCCUUGAUAUUCCAGCAGAGACUUCCUAUUUUUAGUCUGCACAGCAGUUCCUCGCACAGAUUUUCUCUAAUGAAUACUCUCUUUGUUUCAUGAUUCACAGCCACGGCCUUAAAACACAGACGCUGACCAUGGAUUAAAGUUUCAUAUCUGACAACAGCAGUCUAUUAAAGAUUAUGAGGCUCUCUUAAUACAUCUUUUACAGCAGGUUACCGCUCCUAUUCCUUUCUUAUGUUUAUUUAACCAGCCUUGGGAGAGGCGAGGAAAUGCCUUCAAAAAAACGAUUGUCAGUUUGAUCAAAUAUCUGGAUGAACACUCUUCAUUAUAAUUCAAUGCUGUAAGUAUGUUUUAAUAUUAGUUUAUAAUCACAACUGCUGCAUUAUGGAAUCUUGAAGUCAGCCCUUUAUGUUGACAUAAUAUGUCUAUUAUAGUGUUUCUACGGUAACUCAGAAUGGACAAACGUUUAACAUACAGGACUGAGAAUAAGGAGGGAGUCGUGGUUGUUGUGCACAAAAAAAACCCUUAACAAAUAGAGGAUUACAUUUAGCUUGCAUCAUUGCUAAUUUUUGUUGUCAAAGGCAGCAAUUGCUAAAAUGGGAGGAGUGAGCAAGGAAGUAUUUUUAGUUAAGAUUUUGAUCUGUUAGCGUGUGAGAUGGUGAUUUUUAAAAGUUUGUUAUCUUUAAAAUGACACAUGGCUUUAAGAAAGAGAAUAACGGCCA